rnacentral:rRNA from 1 species
AGUGAACGCUGGCGGUAGGCCUAACACAUGCAAGUCGAACGGCAGCACAGUAAGAGCUUGCUCUUACGGGUGGCGAGUGGCGGACGGGUGAGGAAUACAUCGGAAUCUACUUUUUCGUGGGGGAUAACGUAGGGAAACUUACGCUAAUACCGCAUACGACCUACGGGGGAAAGCAGGGGAUCUUCGGACCUUGCGCGAUUGAAUGAGCCGAUGUCGGAUUAGCUAGUUGGCGGGGUAAAGGCCCACCAAGGCGACGAUCCGUAGCUGGUCUGAGAGGAUGAUCAGCCACACUGGAACUGAGACACGGUCCAGACUCCUACGGGAGGCAGCAGUGGGGAAUAUUGGACAAUGGGCGCAAGCCUGAUCCAGCCAUACCGCGUGGGUGAAGAAGGCCUUCGGGUUGUAAAGCCCUUUUGUUGGGAAAGAAAAGCAGCAGGUUAAUACCCAGCUGUUCUGACGGUACCCAAAGAAUAAGCACCGGCUAACUUCGUG